UCCCUGGAGGACUAGUGGUUGGGCCACAGCUCUCUCACUGCUACAGCCUGGGUUUGAUUCCUGGCCAGAGAA
rnacentral:tRNA from 1 species